rnacentral:rRNA from 1 species
UAGGGAAUCUUCCACAAUGGGCGCAAGCCUGAUGGAGCAACACCGCGUGAGUGAAGGAGGGUUUCGGCUCGUAAAGCUCUGUUGUUAAAGAAGAACACGUAUGAGAGUAACUGUUCAUACGUUGACGGUAUUUAACCAGAAAGUCACGGCUAACUACGUGCCAAG